CAGGACCGACUGGGGAGCUGGCGGAGUGCCUGCUCAGCGUACAACCCUGGUGCCGCUCCUAAGCACUGUCUACUGAGAUCUGAGUCAUGGCUGGAACGAGGCUGCGCUCUGCCCUGCUGCCCUGCUCACAGGUAGACCAGUUGCAGAAAGGAAGUGGAGUUACCAGGCGGACAUAAACUGUCAUUACUGAAGGACUGCUUGCUUGGGACGCCCCUGGCCCUUUACAUGAAUUGUUCACUCUCACAAGUACCUUGUAAGACCAUUGCUGCCUUCACUGCUUUGAUGGCUGAGAAACCAAGGUACCGAGGAUGACCCUUUGAACUGUUUCCCACGGAGAGUGCUGGCUCAGCAGAAGAGGCUGCCUUGGGAGUGGGAGGCGGAGGGAUAGUGGCUAUGGACAAAAAUACUUCAGGUGAGGGGCCUUGGCCUUGGCCUUAGAAUGAGCCGUGGGGAUGAUGCUACAUGGAAACACCCAGCACCAUGCUAGAGGCCCGUGAGACCUAACAAACAUAGCUGGGGACACAGCCGCCGUGCAACCCAAUGUCGGCAGCCAUGAAGAAGGAAGCCUUUGACGUGAGAGUCUCACAUGAAGACUUCAUGUUAUAAAAUGCAGUCACUCACA